UUUAAUCUUUAUACAUUUUUAAAUAUGUUAUUCUGAUUUUUUAUAAUUAGUUCAAUUUUAUAAUUAUAAAUAUAUUUUUUCAAAAAUUAUAAUAAUAUAAUAUAAAAAAUAUAAAAAAAUUAAAGAUUAAUUAUAAUUAAAUAUUUAAUCUAUAUUUAAUUAAAAUUUUCUAACGCAGAAAUAUAUUUAAAAAUAUCAAAAAUUUACAAAAAUAAUAUAUAAAAAUUAAUUUUUAUAAAAAUAUAUUUAUUAUUCAUUAUAUUUAUAAAAAUAUGUAAAAAAUUAACCCUAUAAAUAAUAGUCGUCUUCU
rnacentral:lncRNA from 1 species